rnacentral:tRNA from 1 species
GCCCGCUUGGCUCAGUGGUAAAGCGCAUCACUAGUAAUAGAUAAUGAUGAGAUCACUGGUUCGAUUCCAGUAGUGGGCA